rnacentral:rRNA from 1 species
ACUCCUACGGGAGGCAGCAGUGGGAAUAUUGCACAAUGGGGAAAGCCAUCGAUGCAGCCAUGCCGCGCUGUGUGAAGAAGGCCAAUUCGGGCUUGGUAAAGACACUUUUCAGUAGGGAGGAAGGUAGUGUAGUUAACACCUGCAUUAUUUGACGUUACCUACAGAAGAAGCACCGGCUAACUCCGUGCCAGCAGCCGCGGUAAUACGGAGGGUGCGAGCGUUAAUCGGAAUUACUGGGCGUAAAGCGCAUGCAGGCGGCCUGUUAAGUCAGAUGUGAAAGCCCGGG